rnacentral:rRNA from 1 species
CCUACGGGAGGCAGCAGUGAGGAAUAUUGGUCAAUGGCCGUAAGGCUGAACCAGCCAAGUCGCGUGAAGGAAGAAGGAUCUAUGGUUUGUAAACUUCUUUUAUAGGGGAAUAAAGGCAUCCACGUGUGGAUAUUUGCAUGUACCCUAUGAAUAAGCAUCGGCUAACUCCGUGCCAGCAGCCGCGGUAAUACGGAGGAUGCGAGCGUUAUCCGGAUUUAUUGGGUUUAAAGGGUGCGCAGGCGGCACGGCAAGCCGGCGGUCAAAUCGCGGGGCUCAACCCCGCCCAGCCGUCGGAACUGCCGGGC